rnacentral:rRNA from 1 species
CAGCCGCCACGGUAAUACGAAGGGGGCUAGCGUUGCUCGGAAUCACUGGGCGUAAAGGGUGCGUAGGCGGGUCUUUAAGUCAGAGGUGAAAGCCUGGAGCUCAACUCCAGAACUGCCUUUGAUACUGGAGAUCUCGAGUUCGGGAGAGGUGAGUGGAACUGCGAGUGUAGAGGUGAAAUUCGUAGAUAUUCGCAAGAACACCAGUGGCGAAGGCGGCUCACUGGCCCGAUACUGACGCUGAGGUACGAAAGCAUGGGGAGCAAACAGGAUUAGAUACCCGCGUAGUCCCUGUCUCUUAUAC